GGCGCGUCGGUCCAGCGGUACGGACACCGGGUUCUCGGCCCGGAGGCGCGGGUUCGAUCCCCGCACGCGUUGC
rnacentral:tRNA from 1 species